UCUUCCGCAUGGGGGCAACCCUGNCGGACGACGCCGCGUGGAUGAUGAAGGCCGUAAGGUUGUAAAAUCCUUUUGUUGGCGAAGAAUAAGGCGGGGAGUGGAAAGCCCCGCUGAUGACGUUAGCCGACGAAUAAGCCCCGGCCAAUUACGUGCCAGCAGCCGCGGUAAUACGUAUGGGGCAAGCGUUGUUCGGAGUUAUUGGGCGUAAAGGGCGUGUAGGCGGCUCAUCAAGUCUGGUGUGAAAUCGCAGGGCUCAACCCUGCAUAGGCGCUGGAAACUGGUGGGCUUGAGUUCUUGAGGGGAAGCUGGAAUUCCAGGUGUAGGGGUGAAAUCUGUAGAUAUCUGGAAGAACACCGGUGGCGAAGGCGAGCUUCUAUCAGAGGACUGACGCUGAGGCGCGAAAGCGUGGGGAGCAAACAGGAUUAGAUACCNNUGGUAGUCCACGCUGUAAACGAUGUGCACUAGGCGUGGGGCCCGUACGGGUUCUGUGCCGUAGCUAACGUGAUAAGUGCACCGCCUGGGGAGUAUGCUCGCAAGGGUGAAACUCAAAGGAAUUGACGGA
rnacentral:rRNA from 1 species